UACGUAGGGGGCAAGCGUUGUCCGGAUUUACUGGGCGUAAAGAGCGUGUAGGCGGCCACGCAGGUCCGUUGUGAAAACUCGAGGCUUAACCUCGAGAUGUCAUCGGAAACCAUCUGGCUAGAGUCCGGAAGAGGAGAGUGGAAUUCCUGGUGUAGCGGUGAAAUGCGCAGAUAUCAGGAAGAACACCAAUGGCGAAAGCAGCUCUCUGGGACGGUACUGACGCUGAGACGCGAAAGCGUGGGGAGCGAACAGG
rnacentral:rRNA from 1 species